rnacentral:rRNA from 1 species
GAUGAACGCUGGCGGCGUGCUUAACACAUGCAAGUUGAACGGGAAACCUUUUAUUGAAGCUUCGGCAGAUUUAGCUGGUUUCUAGUGGCGGACGGGUGAGUAACGCGUGGGUAACCUGCCCUAUACAGGGGGAUAACAACCAGAAAUGGUUGCUAAUACCGCAUAAGCGCACAGGACCGCAUGGUCCGGUGUGAAAAACUCCGGUGGUAUAGGAUGGACCCGCGUUGGAUUAGCCAGUUGGCGGGGUAACGGCCUACCAAAGCGACGAUCCAUAGCCGGCCUGAGAGGGUGAACGGCCACAUUGGGACUGAGACACGGCCCAGACUCCUACGGGAGGCAGCAGUGGGGAAUAUUGCACAAUGGGGGAAACCCUGAUGCAGCGACGCCGCGUGAAGGAAGAAGUAUCUCGGUAUGUAAACUUCUAUCAGCAGGGAAGAU